rnacentral:lncRNA from 1 species
AUCAAUAUUUACAAUAAAACCAUCUCAAUUUCGUGUAGGAGUGACGUGUAAUAUACUGUAGGUUCUCCUAAGUGAGUUGGGCCGGACCUGGGGGAAGUCAAAAAACAUUACCCGUAUACGUGAAAGCUAUUUUAUAUUUUGAGCCAAAAUUCGUGUUAUGUUGUAUGAUAUUUUAUUAAGCUAUUAAGACAUAUUGACAGUACUAUCAAGACCUAAUUAAUGAGAGUAACAUCUUCAUUGAUAAUAACAUCGUGAUUUUUUGGGUUAAUAUCUAAUACAUCUGCAUGUCGAUGUAUUUUUGGAGGGUGCGUUGGCAUUGAUUUUCUUUGUCUUUCAAACCUUUUUCAGACUCUGUUCUGGAGAUGGGUCCAGGCUCGAAUGAUGGGACAUUAAAAAUUGUAAACUAAUGGGGUUGGUAUUUGUUGAUUUUAUAGGAUACUGAAAAUUAUCUAGACUUGAAAAACUCGCACAAAACUUUUAAAAAUU